rnacentral:tRNA from 1 species
GCCCGGUGGCUCAGCUGGUUAGAGCGCCGCCCUGUCACGGCGGAGGUCGUGGGUUCGAACCCCAUCCGGGUCG